GUGGGGUGUGGUCCCUGUACCUCAUCCCACAGGUUUUAAAACCACUGAUUCAAAAACAUUGGUUUUCAGCUACAGAAGGACAUUUCAGAAGCUCUGGAAAACACAGAAAACUACCAAGAAGAGGGUAAAGGUCAUCUCACAUCUUGGUCGAAGGACAAGCUCUGCCAAGAUUCCCCACUCAACACCCACCUCCCUUCCGCCAAUCUCAGAAAACUGAUGCCACCCCACACACAGAGCCCAAGGCCUGAAGAACAACAUCGCAGGCAGCAUUGCAGGUGCCUAGGCUGCCCUGGCCAUCCCAGGCCUCUGAUCGCGGGGCUGACCUGGCCCCAGGGUCUUUGCACCAGUUUCUCACCCGGACCAGCUCCCUCCCUCCCCAGGCGCUGGGCACAGCCUGGAUCCUCGGCAGAUCUUAGGGCCUCGGGAUAGAGACGGUCUCUCUCGUUAGCCCUGAGUUAAGUGGGCCCCCUCCCCCACGGCCCGUGGUGGCCUGUGCACUUGUGUCCUCCUCCCCCCGAUGUGGGUCCCUGGAGGGUAGCUGCGGCGGGUCCGCGCGCGCCCUCUGCCGGCCGCACCCGGAACUGCCGCCCUGGCCCCCUGACUCGCUGCCGGACCUCCCCGCGCCCAGACACCGCGCACCGGCUCCCCGUGGGCACCUCGCUCCACCGCCUCACUUCGAACCCGCAAACUAUAAGAUGGCCCUCCUCACACUCGGACCCAGCAAGUGAAUCACUCAGCCGAAAUCCAAGGCCCGUGUCUGGGAGGCCCGGGGUAGUCCUCCGAGGAUCUCCCCGCACUCACCCCGCAGCAGGUGCACAAAGUUAGGAAGAACCUCCACUUCCCAGUACAUCCAAGAGACUGUGAUUCUGUCGGUGUCUUUGGUCGAAGCCGAUCCUAGUGCCUCUGAGACAUCUCGCCUGUGGAAAAUUGUAAAUUCAAGUGAAAAACUACAAGUAGCUGUAAAGAAUAAUGGAAUUGAAGUAACUCGAGUGUAGUGGCCAUGCUGACAUCAUCUGCUUUGCUUGAAGUGCAGGAGCACAGAGCUCCACCAGGGUCUGAAGUACACGCUGCACUCAAAUGUUAGGAACGUCCCCCUGAAACAUAGGGUGUAGCUGAUUUCCACAUGGGAUACAAGUCUUGCUGGCCUGUCCUGGGGCAGAUAUGUCUUCUAUGGCUACCAACUACCCACCUCACAGCACCUGGAACUGGAAGUAUGCAGGAGAGAAGGAGAAACAAGGUUUGUCCUAUGAACCAGAAGGGAGACUGCAGAACUGUCAGCAGAGGACUCAGUUCUCCAGACACUGGGAUAGAAUGUGUUAUUAAUUACGGAAACCUCAGCCAAAGUUGGAGUCUGAACAGGCCCGUAGGGGGCAUGCAUGUCAAUAAAGUGAUCUCUGCCUACAUUCCCCACAGGAAGGUGCCUCUACUUACUGUCCAGGAGGAGGAAGGAAAUGUCCCUCUGCCCCAGGAUGGCCCAGCUAAUCACAGACCUCAGCGGCCCAACCAAUGGGAAGCCUCCAUACUCUGGGACCCCAAACUCUCCAAUGGGCUCUUUGGUUGUCACAGCCCUUCCCAACUCCCCCUUUUCCCUAUAAUAAAGCAAGUUCUCACUC